GAUGAACGCUGGCGGCGUGCCUAAUACAUGCAAGUCGAGCGAACGGACGAGAAGCUUGCUUCUCUGAUGUUAGCGGCGGACGGGUGAGUAACACGUGGAUAACCUACCUAUAAGACUGGGAUAACUUCGGGAAACCGGAGCUAAUACCGGAUGAUAUUUUGAACCGCAUUGUUCAAAAGUGAAAGACGGUCUUGCUGUCACUUAUAGAUGGAUCCGCGCUGCAUUAGCUAGUUGGUAAGGUAACGGCUUACCAAGGCAACGAUGCAUAGCCGACCUGAGAGGGUGAUCGGCCACACUGGAACUGAGACACGGUCCAGACUCCUACGGGAGGCAGCAGUAGGGAAUCUUCCGCAAUGGGCGAAAGCAUGACGGAGCAACGCCGCGUGAGUGAUGAAGGUCUUCGGAUCGUAAAACUCGGUUAUUAGGGAAGAACAUAUGUGUAAGUAACUGUGCACAUCUUGACGGUACCUAAUCAGAAAGCCACGGCUAACUACGUG
rnacentral:rRNA from 1 species